rnacentral:rRNA from 1 species
UACGGGGGGAGCAAGCGUUGUUCGGAUUUACUGGGCGGAAAGGGCGCGUAGGCGGUCAGCACAAGUCAGUUGUGAAAUCUCCGGGCUUAACUCGGAAAGGUCAACUGAUACUGUGCGACUAGAGUGCAGAAGGGGCAACUGGAAUUCUCGGUGUAGCGGUGAAAUGCGUAGAUAUCGAGAGGAACACCUGCGGCGAAGGCGGGUUGCUGGGCUGACACUGACGCUGAUGCGCGAAAGCAUGGGGAGCGAACAGG